rnacentral:rRNA from 1 species
CCUACGGGAGGCAGCAGUGGGGAAUUUUGGGCAAUGGAGGAAACUCUGACCCAGCAACGCCGCGUGAAUGAUGAAGGUCUUCGGAUUGUAAAGUUCUUUUCUAAGGGAAGAAGAAAGUGACGGUAGCUUAGGAAUAAGUCACGGCUAACUACGUGCGUGCAGCCGGCGUAAUUCGUAGGUGGCGAGCGUUAUUCGGUAAUAUUGGGUUGAAAGGGUGCGUAGGCGGGCGGAUAAGUUAGAGGUGAAAUACCGAGGGUCAAACUCAGUAGUGCCACAGAUACUGUUCGGCUAGAGAGUAGUUGCGGCAGGCGGAAUGUAUGGUGUAGCGGUAAAAUGCGUAGAGAUCAGAAAGAACACCAGUGGCGAAGGCAGCUUACCAGGCUACUUCUGACGUUGAGGCACGAAAGCGUGGGGAGCAAACAGGAUUAGAUACCCGUGUAGUC